rnacentral:rRNA from 1 species
CGGCCUCGUUUGUGGGUGGCUUGACGGUACCUGCAGAAAAAGCACCGGCUAACUACGUGCCAGCAGCCGCGGUAAUACGUAGGGUGCAAGCGUUGUCCGGAAUUAUUGGGCGUAAAGAGCUCGUAGGCGGUUUGUCGCGUCUGCUGUGAAAACCCGAGGCUCAACCUCGGGCCUGCAGUGGGUACGGGCAGACUAGAGUGCGGUAGGGGAGAAUGGAAUUCCUGGUGUAGCGGUGGAAUGCGCAGAUAUCAGGAGGAACACCGAUGGCGAAGGCAGUUCUCUGGGCCGUUACUGACGCUGAGGAGCGAAAGCGUGGGGAGCGAACAGGAUUAGAUACCCUGGUAGUCCACGCCGUAAACGUUGGGAACUAGAUGUGGGGACCUUUCCACGGUCUCCGUGUCGCAGCUAACGCAUUAAGUUCCCCGCCUGGGGAGUACGGCCGCAAGGCUAAAACUCAAAGGAAUUGACGGGGGCCCGCACAAGCGGCGGAGCAUGCGGAUUAAUUCGAUGCAACGCGAAGAACCCUACCAAGGCUUGACAUA